rnacentral:rRNA from 1 species
UACUGAGGGUGCGAGCGUUAAUCGGAAUUACUGGGCGUAAAGCGUGCGUAGACGGUCAAGUAAGUCGGGUGUGAAAGCCCCGGGCUCAACCUGGGAAUUGCAUUCGAGACUGCGUGGCUAGGGUGCGGAAGAGGGAAGCGGAAUUUCCGGUGUAGCGGUGAAAUGCGUAGAUAUCGGAAGGAACACCAGUGGCGAAAGCGGCUUCCUGGUCCAGCACCGACGUUCAGGCACGAAAGCGUGGGGAGCAAACAGG